rnacentral:rRNA from 1 species
UACGAAGGGGGCUAGCGUUGUUCGGAAUUACUGGGCGUAAAGCGCGCGCAGGCGGCUAUCCAAGUCAGUGGUGAAAGCCCGGAGCUCAACUCCGGAACUGCCAUUGAAACUGUUUAGCUUGAGGACGAGAGAGGUGAGUGGAAUUCCCAGUGUAGAGGUGAAAUUCGUAGAUAUUGGGAAGAACACCGGUGGCGAAGGCGGCGAUCUGGACGAUGACUGACGCUGAGACGCGAAAGCGUGGUGAGCAAACAGG